UGCGUAGGUGGCGCCGUAAGUGGGGUGUGAAAUUUCGGAGCUUAACUCCGAAACUGCAUUCCAUACUGCGGUGCUUGAGGACUGGAGAGGAGACUGGAAUUCAUGGUGUAGCAGUGAAAUGCGUAGAGAUCAUGAGGAAGACCAGUGGCGAAGGCGGGUCUCUGGACAGUUCCUGACACUGAGGCACAAGGGGCUAGGGGAGGCGAACG
rnacentral:rRNA from 1 species